ACCGUGUCUUGAGAGGUCGCCAUUGACGAAGCAUGGCUGCUGCCAUGAAGCUGUGCUAUUAUUACGGUUAUUUUCAUUGUGGGAUGACAUAAAAUACGCCAAUCACCACCACCACUACUGUCACCACUAUCGCGAUCACCACCAUCAUCGCAGUUGUAACAACCUUAUUACUUUAUGAUGAUAGAAAUAAAAUGGUGCAUUGCC